rnacentral:tRNA from 1 species
GGGAAAGUGGCUCAGUGGUAGAGUGCUUGCUUUGCAUGCAUGAGGCCUGGGUUCGAUUCCUCAGCACCACCU